rnacentral:ncRNA from 2 species
UAUUUAACGUUGAAGAGGAUUAGUAGUCAGUAUUAAGUGUUCAGCGAGCGUAUGGUUAGUGAGAAUACGUCUUUAAUACUGAUGAACUCGCCUUUGAGUUUUCGACUGAAUUAAGUAAGUUGGAACGUGAGCCGCGUUAAGGCCAGAGAGUUGUCCAAUUUGUGUUGGGCAGAACUUAGGUGGCAUCGCGGUCAAUUCGUCCUAUGG